rnacentral:rRNA from 1 species
GACGAACGCUGGCGGCGUGCUUAACACAUGCAAGUCUUACGAGAAAAGGGUAGCAAUAUCCUGAGUAAAGUGGCGCACGGGUGAGUAACACGUAGGCAAUUUGCCUUUAGGACGGGAACAACCCCGGGAACCGGGGACGUAUACCCGACUGAUGCAGCGGCUCCGCAUGGAGACAGUUGUUAAACCCCGCCGAGGGGCCGUAUUGAUGAGCCUGCGUCUGAUUAGCUAGUUGGUGAGGUAACGGCCCACCAAGGCAACGAUCAGUAGCUGGUCUGAGAGGAUGAUCAGCCACACUGGAACUGAGACACGGUCCAGACUCCUACGGGAGGCAGCAGUGAGGAAUAUUGCACAAUAGGCCGAAAGGACUGACGCAGCGACGCCGCGUGAAGGAUGAAGUACGUUAGAAU